GAGAAAACUAGUUACUUGCUUGUUUGUAUUUGUUGUCCUGUUAAGUGCUGAUUAUCAAUCUCUAAAAAGUAUUUGUAGUUUGGUGGACCACAGGGUAUCUUCACGAUAUAAAUUGAUGCAUGGAUUAAAGCUUGCCUUCAUAAUGCCUUGUGGUUGAAAAGGCAAGGAAUUAGGAAAGUUAUAUUAUCAUCAGAGAUUUGCUUACUUUGCGUAAGGUGGAUGGAAUUUGAUUCCCUCUGUGGUCUUUACAAGAAAUUGGAAAUUUCCUAGCAUUGCAGAAAAGGUGAUUUGUUUGGAUUUAGACAGCUAUUUAUUUAGGGCUAGGUGUUGAUAGCGUAUGGUAAGAGUCAGAGUUCUAGCAAGCAGGAAAUAUUAAGGUCCUAUAUAAAAUCACUCAGCAGCGUUCUUGAUUUAGUGCAAUUAGAUCUUUGUAUUUGAAACCCACCUAAGUCUAGGUUGAACAUGAGUAUCUUACAGUCCAAGUCCCAAAAGCCAACUCUUGAUGAAGUGCAGUUGAGAGAAAUAUUCAGGAAACACAAUAUCAAUGGUGAUGGCCACUUGAAUAAGGAAUAACUGAAGGAAGCCUUUCGAAGAAUAACAUGGGCUAGCAAUGAAAUAUGGAUGAUUGCUACUAUUGAAGGUGAAAUAUAUGAGCAGCAUUGAGAAGGGGCCGAUUGAAUUAAGUCUGUAAAUAGUGUUAUGUUUCUGUUAUUUAAUGUUCAAAGGAACAUGUACCUUGUUGACAAAGUAGGAUUAUCUUAUAAUUUGCACAUUUCUUAGUAUGUUAAUAUGUUAUUUAUAAAAUAAACUAUUUCAUGUA